CUAUAUGAAUUAACAUUCUUGUGGUUGGCCCACUUGGUUUGAUGGCUCAAACGUUUAAAGUGUCUAUUUAAGGAGACUCAUCUGAUCAUUUCCUGUUUCCUGUGUGAAGGCAAGUACUGGCGCUCUCUGCAGCGGUCUGCGUCGAAGCUGGGCUACUCCCUGAGCGAGGUGCUCCGCUCUGAGAGCGAAGAGACCGAGACGGUCACCGCCAUGGCGUCACUGUCUGUCGCCACAAGCACAUCAGCAAAAGGACUGAGGAGGAGCCGAUGGAGGAGGAAGUGGACCCGGCGUUCAACCACUCAUAAGCCAAGCCUGCCUCUCGGACAUUGUUCUCGUCCAAUCUAAACCACUGUUUCAGUUUAAACCCUGCCCUCCCCCCCCCCACCACCCCCACCCCCCUGCCAGGUGUCUCACCUAUUGCUAUCUCAAUGUGGCGGGGGUCCUAGCGCGGAAUGGGGGGGGCCGGGUCUCCGUUUCAUAGAAGAAACGGGGGCUCUGGGGGGCUGAAACAGAACACUGGUGUUCGGUUGUGCACAGGGGGUUGGAUGCUCGGCCCACGUUGUGUUGCGUUGUCAUCUUUAACGGAGGGCCCGAGUCUCUGAGCCGCUGCUACCAGGCCGCCUCGAGACGAGGAACUCAAGGUUGGAAAACCGAGCCAUCGUGCGCUGUCGUGCCUCGAAUGCCAGUACUUUAGGACUUUAAACCGACGCCGUCUGAAUGAGGCACGGAUCACCAGACGGUCAUCUUUGCUCUGGGUUGAGGUUCUCGGUCUCCCUCGCCUCUAUCGCCUCGCCUCUUCUCCUUUUUUUUUUAUUUCUGAGUCUGAGAGCGUGGAUGUAUCCUUGAUCCGGGGACCGUAGCUUGAUGCCGUGACCCGCGGAGCACAGUUGGAGAUGGAGGAAAUGCGAGUGUGGAAUACAUUUCUGCCCGAAGUCCUCUGGAUGAAGUGGAAUGGAGGUGGUCGAUUCGAACGGUGAUUCUUGGCUCUGUUCCGACUGAUGGUAAAUGACUGCAAAAUUGUGCCUUUUUUUCGAACCUGGUGGAUAUUUCACAAUGAACUGAACUUCAAGACAUUUUGCCUUAAAGACAGGUUUGGGAACAAGGCCUCUUCUCAUCCUUAUCCUUUUACUAUUUUUUACUCGGGCGGCAAAACUUUCCAAGCCUGCAUGCUGUUGGCAUAGAGACUGGACGACUGGCAUGUUUACCCAUAAUGCUUUUCACACAGCCUGUCCACCCUGUAAUUAAACCCUUAUUUUUUCAUCGUACCACUUUUACCUGCUUUUUGGAAGGUAGUUGUUGACCGAUUGAGUAAAAGCGUGGCUUGGCUGUGCUGGGAGGUUUAUUUACUAUUCUCCAGACAAGCCUGAUUUUCCAGCUAGGAUUUCUGAAUGGAUGAAAUAACAAGCAUGCACUGCAUUCCAAUAACGUCACAAGACGAAGCAUGAUGUACUAUCACCCCUUUAUUAAUCACAGGAGGUCACAUUGUCAACCAGAAUUCGUGCAUUAAGCGUGUCCACCGACAAAUAAACAUCAGCACAUCACUGAUAGAGGAGCGAGCUCCUCCCCACAAAAUAUUUCCCACGUUGAGGACAGUGCAGUGUUUUCAGACGCCAGACCGGAGACGGUGGGUUUUAACAGUGUCUGAGUCGCUCCGCGCUUCAGUACGCGACCCCCUGUGACACUAGUGAAACGCAUCUGCUCUCCCCCUGUCCUGAGCUACCGACCAGGUGGGAGGGAGUGAGAACAUGUGCGCUCAUAUACUUGUGGGUGAGUGCGUGUGUGUGUGUGGGGGACGGGUGUGUGACACGACCGGGAGCCAGACCUACAAAGUCAAAUCACACACUUAUUAUUCUGACGGCACAGUAAGGUCGGCGGACACACGUCUGUGUGGAGAGUUUGUCUGGUUCAUAACUUUCAUCUAUCUCUGGCCACCAGAAAUGAUCUAAGAGAUGGUGCGUGAUGUACAUCAUCUCGGCCAGCGCUGCCGUAUGUAGCGCCAAGGACUGCCCGGCAGUACGACCCCCACCCAUCUGGGAGAGGAGGGGCAGUGGGGAGCUUCGUCAGCCACAGCCUGCAGGCGUUUGACAGUUUGACAGUUUUGAACAUUGACAACGAUAGAAGCAACGCAUCUUGACGUAGCUUGAUUGAGAACACCCAGGACCACCAGACCAACUCCCCGUCACCACCAGACCAACUCCCCGUCACCCAGCUCACAUUGUCUUUCCCUCUGGGCAGCUACCUUCUUCCACGGUCGUUUUGUUUCAAACUCUACUUUUGCAUUGAAGCCUUGUUUCUCGACGCAGGGGCGGGGUCCUGACAGGAGGUCAGGAGGAUAUCUUUUCCAAGACUUCUCUCCCCCUCCCCCUCCCCCAACCCCCCAGCCCCCCGAAAUUUGCCAGCUGUUUCCUCGGUCGUUUCGUUGCUGUAUCUGUUUAGUUUUUUUUAAGUGCAGUCAAGUGACUAUUAUUGAUAUGUUUUGUGUUGUACCUUUUAAUCAUUUUUUUAUUUUGUAUACAGCACUUUUCGCCCCCACCUGUCUUUUCCUCCUUUCCUCUCUGUUACGUUGUUUGUUGUACAGUUUACAUGUUUCAAAACCGAAAAAGGGUUUGGAUUCUGGUGGGCGAGGACAUUUUCCUUGCUGUUUUUUGAGCUCCAGGGUUUAUGGGGAAGCUUUGGGAAUGCAAAUACUACUUUGUACAAUGAUUAUAAUAAUUGUGUAUUUACUAUACUGUCUGUUCAUAGUAGAUUUAUAUAUGAAAAAUAUGCAUAUUAUAUUAUAUAUAUAUAAAAAUGAAAUAUUAUGAACUUGUUUUUGAAAUUAGUAUUGCAAGGUUUAUAUUUUCAUUGGGCAAAUUUGUUGCCCUCUCGAGGGUAUUAAUGAAAGCACCACUUACUGUCACUUGCUACGGUUGGCUCACCGCUGAGCAAUAUAGCAUCCCAUUGGUCUUGUGUUCCCUUGCGUCAGUAACAACGACUGGCUUUGAGUUGUGUUCAUCCCAUGGUAGUUCUCAUACUGUUCCGAGUUACAUUGCCUACGACACUCACACACUACAACAUACUGUGCAAUCACUGUUACAUUACAUUGUUCUCUGGAAAAAUGGCUUUUCUUUUUCCGUUUAAUUCAUCCCUCUCCUCUUUAUUUAAGAUGUCAACUCGCAUAUCUUCACGCUGGGUUCUGUGCACCCUUUUGUUCAAAAUAUACCUUUCCUAAAUUACCAAUAUUUGAAUGUCUAUUGAUGAAUCAAUCGGUAACAUUUGCAUAUUCAUGAUUUAUUUUUGUACAAUCUUAAUAAUUCACACGCUUAUCCUAAAACCUUCUCCAAAGAGGAAGAUCAAAAGACGGAUGGACACGUGGCUAUCCGCAGCCCCCGUACCUCUGAUUGUAUCACUGUGAUCAGCCAGGAGCACCAAUGACCGCAGAACAGAGUCUGACCUUUUUAUUGGCGACCAAACGUUCGUUGGUUUAUUCUACUCAUCGGUGCUCUAAAUGUAUAGUUUAUUAUAUCACAUUCACGCCUUCGGGGGCUUGGCCCUUCAAUUAGAACUAGUUAUGGUAACUAGUAAAGAGAUAUGGUUUCUUAUCAAUAGGGUUUAGUUAAGGAAGCCAGUUAAGGUAACUAUGAACCAUUUAAGAUGACGACUAAAGGUAACUUGGAACCAGGUAUGGUAACUAAUGACUAGUUAAGAUAACCAGUUAAUAGUAACGGUACCCCGUUAAGACGACGAGCUAAGGUCAGCUAGACAAACCACCUAGCCGUCAAACAACCUGAACAGGUUCAGGUUGUUGAGACAAAAAACUAUAACUCCGUUCAGAAGAAAUGUUACCCAGAAGACGUAGCUUUCAGAACACCGUAACCGACGGUGGCAUUCCCACCACAACGUUGGCCUGAAUCACCCCUCUCGCUUGUCUCCCCCCUUUUCUCUCUCCUCUGUCUCCCCCAAACGGCUUCAGCAGAUGACAAUUUCCCCCGGACAAUAUGGCCUCAUGGCUCAUUUCUUUACUUGGCUUAACGAUACACACUUCUAAGAGGUGGAGGACAAUAUUGGUGGAAACAUUGAGUAUAUUCCCAAGCAGUAGCACUAAAUCAAUCUUUUGAAACAUUAUGUUAAUGAUAUUCUUUAUAUAAGCCUUUGGAAUGGGGACCAUUAUAAGUGCUUUCUCCUUAGUUAUAGAACAUUUCACUUUGGUUUAGACUAAUUGUCAUUUACAAUAUCAUCCUUUUUUUGUACAUUCCUCGCUGUCCACCAACUAUUCACUUGCUUUUACGCACGCACACACACGCACACACACACACACACACACACACACACACACACACACACACACUUCUUGCUUGAUAAAUAGAAGGCACAUCGGUGGACAAUGUUCCCAGGGGGAAGUCUGUUUUGGCCCCAACAAACAUCAGAGAACAUGAGCUGGUAUACAUUACAACAUUUCCCUUUAAAUAUCAGCAUUGGCCAUUGUCAUUCUGGUUGUUGAAAAGGUGUCGAACCCAGGCAUGUUUUUUGUCUGAUGGUUGAAUCAAGAUGAGGUGAUUUGUUCAGCCCUUGAUCCCAGUCCCCAAAAGGGCUUAACCGGCCCUAGGUUUCCUCGUGCCCACUGCACCGUCAGUCAAAGGACGUUGGAAGGCGUGGCUGACGGAUGGGGGAGCUUUCCAAGGUCGUCAGAGCCCGAGUAGUGUCACAGUGCUUAAAUUUGCAUACGUGAUCUGAUUGGAUGACGGAUCCGUCGCUGCCGAAAAAGUUGAAUUUUUUUUCUACUUUUUGACGGCGCCGAAGGCUCCAACGGAGCGCACAGAUCCACAAUGCAUUGCGCCUCCGUACACAUUCAAAGUCAAUGGGGAUCCGUCAACGGACGGUGCAGUGGGCACGAGAGGGUGACCGUCUCACCACACUGAUGAUCCAACAAAUGUGCCACCAAAAAACAAACAUGUUUUAGUAUGGCUUCCACAUUACCUUUGGUCUACGACUCUUCAACAAGGACAGAUUUCCUUCUCUCACCCACUUUCUGUUUCUGUCUCUCUCCCUCUUGUCCCCCCCCCCACCCCCUAAAUGUUUUGCAUGUUUUUGUAUGUCCGCAUGCGCUGUCUGUCAGUCUGUACCCCAACACACAUCCACACAUGGGAUGUAGCACUGAAGGGCACGUUGACUACCUUCUCAAGAUUGCAUCAACACUUUUGCUCUCUCUCCUUCUCUGUCUCUGGUCUCUCUCUCUCUCUGUUGGCUGGCUAGUUUUUUAAAGAGUCCCCUCCUAGAGAACCGAGGGAAGGGCAGUUUUCAGUGUUAGGUGAAUUUGCUCUCAUUUGUACAAACAAGGAAUCCAUAAAGCUGAGAUUUAAACAUACACCAUUUCAAAGCUGUUUUCUCUAGCAUUUGUAACACACAGACGAUAGAUUUUAUUGUAUUUAUCUAGGAAAGGUGUGAGUUUUGUAGUGAGGCUACAUACAUGAAGGGUCAACAGCAGAACCGGCCGAAUGUCUGAAUGCCAGGCAGUGGUGUGGGGGGUUGAUGUGUGUUUUAUACCAUGAUUGGACUUCUUCAAAGGGCUCAAACCCGAAGCCUGAUGUAUUUUUGUCCCAGGUGUCCACUUUAAGCCAGUUUUACCUAUGACCACUACGGUUCAGAAAGUUACAGUUCUAGGUUUACAUAUGUAUUAAUGCAUAUUAUUUUGUUUUCAUUUUUUUCAAUAUUGGUUAUUUUUUUUGACUUGUUGCUCUACUGUUACAAAAGUCUCUUUUUUUUCUCGGGAACUUUUUGCUCUAACAUAUUGUCUUUGACAUCUACAAUAUAAAGUAUCAUGUUUUGAAAAAAAUAA